CCUACGGGUGGCAGCAGUGAGGAAUAUUGGUCAAUGGCCGGAAGGCUGAACCAGCCAUUCCGCGUGACGGUCAGUGCCCUAUGGGCGUUAAACUUCUUUUGUGCGGGAGCAAUAAUGGUCACGUGUGGCCAGACGAGAGUACCGUACGAAUAAGCAUCGGCUAACUCCGGUCCAGCAGCCGCGGUGAUACCGGGGAUGCAAGCGUUAUCCGGAUUUUUUUGGUUUAAAGGGUGCGUAGGCUGUGAGGUAAGUCAGCGGUGAAAUGACCCCGGUCAAUGGGGUGAAGUGCCAUUGAUACUGCCUUGCUGGAAUGCGGAUGCCGUGGGAGGAAUGUGUGGUGGAGCGGUGAAAUGCAUAGAUAUCACACAGAACACCGAUUGCGAAGGCAUCUCACGAAUCCGCGAUUGACGCUGAUGCACGAAAGCGUGGGUAUCAAACAGGAGUAGAUACCCGAGUAGUC
rnacentral:rRNA from 1 species